GAAAACGUUUAUUUUUGUAGCCUCGGACCUCAAAGACAGCCAAGUAGGCUCCUCUUGGUGCUUCAUUGUGAGUCACACUUUAUCAGUGGUGCUGAGGAGAGACCCAGCUGUGCAAAGCCUCGAGUAUGAGCUGUAUGUUAUUUAUAUAUUCGCAUACUUCAGUAGAGUUGUAGCUGAGCUCUAAGGAAUCAAAGAAAUACAUGUGGUGUGGCCACUGGGAACACGGUGAAUGUCUACACACCGCGCUUCCCUUCCUUCCUCUCCUCGCAUUCAACUUACAAGUUAGUCAACCUCUUCUUGUCUCACACCCAGAGAUAAGUAUUAAACCACAGAUCCUGCUUAAUUGAGAAGUUUCAAGGCUUUCUUUUUUUCCCUGUCUUUUGUUUGUUCUUCAAAGGCUGAGAAGAAAGCCUCCAGCACGAGCUGCCUGCUGUGCUCGGUCCCGGUACCUGCCUGGUGACGAGAGGGCUACGUGCGGCAGGGAGCCGCGCUGCUCGUGUUGACGUCCUGCCAGCAGAAACCCUGUGCCCAAAGCCAGCUGAGAGCUACGCCUUCAGCACAACUUUGGAACAAGUUUGGGGCAAAGUCCUGGCUCAUUUGAUCUGGGGAAAAUCUCUCUGGUGUCAGAGGGGCCACAGUGAUGUGAAGUUGAGUGACGACGUGAGGCCUGUAGCUGGUUGAGCAAGGGAUUCUCCGAGUCGGAGCUCUGAGAUCAAGCUGCUAUGGACAGCACUGGUAUUUAUGUGAUCAUGGCAGUGGGGCAGAGAAGCAGCUACAGCUGGUUACAUCCUGAACUACAGCACCUUAACCUGACAGAGACAGAAGAUCAAAGCUGUAGGUCCCACUACAGGACUGAGGAUAUUGUGGCCAAUGACAGGAGAAGGAACAUGUUGUAUGUUGCUUGGGAAGACACAUGGGCAAGGAGGAACGGUUGCCACAAUGUGUGGGGAACAAUGGCAUCCUCUGUCUUACACAGAGAGGCCGGAUCACAGUCAAGAGACUUGGAGUACUGUGGUAGCUCCCAGGAGCCAUGAACCAAGUGCCUCUUAACCUAGGGACUCUAUAAAC
rnacentral:lncRNA from 1 species